UGGGGAAUAUUGCACAAUGGGCGCAAGCCUGAUGCAGCCAUGCCGCGUGUGUGAAGAAGGCCUUCGGGUUGUAAAGCACUUUCAGCGGGGAGGAAGGCGGUGAGGUUAAUAACCUCAUCGAUCGACGUUACCCGCAGAAGAAGCACCGGCUAACUCCGUGCCAGCAGCCGCGGUAACACGGAGGGUGCAAGCGUUAAUCGGAAUUACUGGGCGUAAAGCGCACGCAGGCGGUCUGUCAAGUCGGAUGUGAAAUCCCCGGGCUCAACCUGGGAACUGCAUUCGAAACUGGCAGGCUAGAGUCUUGUAGAGGGGGGUAGAAUUCCAGGUGUAGCGGUGAAAUGCGUAGAGAUCUGGAGGAAUACCGGUGGCGAAGGCGGCCCCCUGGACAAAGACUGACGCUCAGGUGCGAAAGCGUGGGGAGCAAACAGGAUUAGAUACCCUGGUAGUCCACGCUGUAAACGAUGUCGAUUUGGAGGUUGUGCCCUUGAGGCGUGGCUUCCGGAGCUAACGCGUUAAAUCGACCGCCUGGGGAGUACGGCCGCAAGGUUA
rnacentral:rRNA from 1 species